UUCAGCCGUAUGGUUGUUUAUCUUGGUGCAUCAACAAACAACAAGGCACUUACUGUACUCAACUACUUCACUGCUGCUGUUAACAAGUAUGGCUUACCUUCACGUGUUCGCUCCGAUAAAGGUGGUGAAAAUACUGCUGUUGCAGAGUUCAUGGUGGCAAACAGAGGUGAUGAUAGAAACUCCCACAUUACUGGGAGAAGCGUACACAAUCAAAGAAUAGAGGCUCUGGAGGGAUGUGUAUGACCAGGUCCUGGACAUUUUUUAUCAUAUCUUCCUCAAUCUAGAGGCAGAGGGUCUGCUGAAUCCAGACUCAGACAUUGACAUUUUUGCCCUUCAUUGGAGUUUUUUAAAUCACCUGCAAAGACACUUGACCUUCUUCAUGGAGUCAUCACAGGCUCAGGACAGCAGGCAGCCAGAUCACUGAUCCAGCUCUGGAUUGGGCACAGAGCAUAUGCAAUGGAGGAUCCUAUUCAGGUAGAUGAACAUUAUGGAGUUGACUGGGAGGAACCAGCUGUACACUAUGAAGAGGGAGUUGUCGUUCCUGAAGUUGAGUUACCAAGAGAACUCACAGCAGAUGAACUGGAAUCACUCCCCAAUCCAAG